GCUCCAAGGGCCGGAAGUUCGAGCGUGCCAGAGGCCGACUGGACAACCAAGGCCACAAAAACUAACCCGGGGCUGGGAGCGGUGGCUCACGCCUGUAAUCCCAGCACUUUGGGAUGCCGAGGCGGGGCGGAUCACGAACGAGAGUAUCUGUUUUGCAUUCCUUACUUGGUGGAGGUAGAAUGAGAGCCAAUGAUUCUUCACCAUCACACAGCCGGUUAUCAAGAUAGCCCUUCAGUCACAAGCAAUGCCCAGUGAACUGCAGAUUCUCAUCAGUUCAGAACAAGGCCACACAUGGAGACAAAGCAUGAUGAAUAGUCUGUUACUAUAACCCAGAGGAGCUGACCUUGGCAUUGUAUGUCUACAAUAUCAUCCUAGAUACUUUAUGUAAUUCAUUCCGUACAAAACCAUUAUGAGGUUUUCCAAGUUGGUUCAAACUAAUGUGAACUUUCUGGAUCUGGUCCAG
rnacentral:lncRNA from 1 species